UGGAGCAGACACUCGGCACGUGUCUUGAGAUUAUCAUCCGCUGAGGGUGGAGCUGAGGGUGGAGCUGAGGGUGGAAGGGGAGUGAGCAGACACUCGGGAGGUGUCUUGAGAUUAUCAUCCGCUGAGGGUGGAAGGGGAGUGAGCAGACACUCGGGAGGUGUCUUGAGAUUAUCAUCCGCUGAGGGUGGAAGGGGAGUGAGCACACACUCGGGAGGUGUCUUGAGGCUCAGGGAGUUAUCAGUUAUAGAAUGUUGUUGAGUUGGAGGAGGUGGCUGGUGGCCCAUCCUGUUUUUUAAAGUUUCAGCUGUGAG
rnacentral:lncRNA from 10 species